CCUCAGAAAAAAACACCAACCUCUGCAAGUCUGGCUUCUCUUUAGGAGCAAAUUUCAAACAGCUAAAGUUUUUGAGCCCUGAUACCAAACUCUAAAGUUGCGCAAUCAAGCUGUGAACACAAUCUGGCACUGAUGAUGCGCUCCUCUAAACAAGCCUGGAAUCUAUUCACUGUAUGACUCCAACUAAGAGGACCAACUGUGAAGGGGCUUUUGGUCUGUUGGUCCUGGAUGGUGCAAAGUUGCUUUGAGAUGAUGUACUACACAAAAAAAGUGGCUUGGCUUGACUGGUCUUAGUCAAACUGCCCCAGCUAACUCCUGUCUACUGAAAAAGGCACAAACAAUGAGCAUACAAGCAUCAAAACCUGGCAUCAGAACAAUGGAUGAAGGUCUGGUCUGACAAAUCCUGUUUAUUUUUUCAUGGUAGGAUGAUCUAGCAAGUGUGCAUCAUUUACCCAUAAAAGAGAUGGCAGCAGUAUGCACUGCAGGAUGAUCUAACUCGCAACGUACAUUUAGCUAAAGCACCAGCUGGUAAUGUCCUGGUUCUAGAUACCACAGAGUCCUUCAGAUGACUAGUGGUGUACAUGUCUCAGCAGUUCAGAGCUGUUUUGAAAGCAUAUUAGGUGUACUGUGUAAAGUUCUUUAAUUUUAGAUUGGAACAUUAAAUACACAAUGGUUGUGAUACACAAUUGUGAAUGUGUUAAUAUGUAUGUAAUGUAGUUCUUUAAAGUUUAAUAGAACAAAGACGGGCAGCACGGUGGCUCAGUGGGUAGCACUGUCUCCUCACAGUAGAAAGGUCCUGGGUUUGAUCCCCAGAUAGGGCCAAAGACAUGCAAGUGAAGUGAAUUUGAGAUACAAAAUUGUCCAUGACUGUGUUUGACAUUAAACUUGUG